GGAGAGAUGGCCGAGCGGUUUAAGGCGCACGCCUGGAAAGCGUGUUCAUGCGGAAGUGUGUCAGGGGUUCGAAUCCCCUUCUCUCCGCCA
rnacentral:tRNA from 1 species